UUAAUUUGUCUUUCACAGAAAAGGAAAUUCUCCCUGGCCGUGGCAGGUAGUGUUGAGUCUAGAAUCAUUAAGUGUCUUGCUUUCCUUUCUGUUCUUCUUGGCUCUGCCAUGGGCAGUCUGGACAACUUCCUCCAUGAGAGGUGAGGAGACUGAGGCCUGGAAGGAUGCAGUGACUUUUGCCAUCACUUAUAUUUUAUGGCCUUUCUCCUCUACCAAGAUUUAGUGCAAAAUCGUGCUAACAACAUGAGCGUAUCCUUGGCAAUAUUCUCCUACUUUAGUAUCACGUACAGUCCUGGAUGAAUAGAAGUGAAAAGAAGAAAGUGAAGAAGGUCUAUUUCUCCUAUAUUGUUUAUGCUGAUCAUUCUGACUUCUGAUGUUUAGUAUGAGGUAUAGAGACAUCUUGCUAUGAUAUAUGUAGAAUAUUAAAAGGAUUGAAGACCUGGAAAAUAAAGGAUUA